rnacentral:rRNA from 1 species
GACAGAGGGUGCAAACGUUGCUCGGAAUACUGGGCGUAAAGCGUGCGCAGGCGGUGAUGUAAGACAGAUGUGAAAUCCCCGGGCUCAACCUGGGAACUGCAUUUGUGACUGCAUCGCUAGAGUACGGCAGAGGGGGAUGGAAUUCCGCGUGUAGCAGUGAAAUGCGUAGAUAUGCGGAGGAACACCGAUGGCGAAGGCAGCCCCCUGGGCCAACACUGACGCUCAGGCACGAAGCGUGGGGAGCAAACAGG